UACGGAGGAUCCAAGCGUUAUCCGGAAUUAUUGGGUUUAAAGGGUCCGCAGGCGGUUUUUUAAGUCAGAGGUGAAAGCCAACAGCUCAACUGUUGAACUGCCUUUGAUACUGAUAGUCUUGAAUUGUAGUGAAGUGGUUAGAAUAUGUGGUGUAGCGGUGAAAUGCAUAGAUAUUACACAGAAUACCGAUUGCGAAGGCAGAUUACUAACAAUAUACUGACGCUGAGGGACGAAAGCGUGGGUAGCGAACAGG
rnacentral:rRNA from 1 species